CUCACAAGUUCGAGGGUUGGCUCAGAAGUACUGGCAUAGGAAAUCCCUGGAGCCUGUGAAAUUUUAAGACAGCAGCCAACUUGGGGCCAGCAAAGACUGCCAAACUUACUAGGAGUUAAAGGAAGAAGAAAGCAGCAUUUAAUGCUAACAAAUGAAUUCUCAGGGGAUCAGAUAUUAAAUACAACCUCAAAUAUCCUGUGAUCUUCAUAAUGAAACUGACAGACUCUGUGAAAUACUUCAAUACCCCAUCAGAUGCUUGGCAAGCACUACAGGAAUUGAGACCAAAUCUCACUAAGGGUAAGCCAUCAUCCUCUCAUAAAGGAAAAGAAAAUGAAGAAUAUAAGCCCUGAAGAAAAGGACUCAUGAUUGGGAAAACCAG